AAGAUUCUAUGGACUAAGGAGCUGAUGAAGUAGUUUGCGGUGUUGCACAGUUCGCCUCAACUUUUUCUUUGUUUCUGUAGAACGGAAAUCCCUUGUGGAUAAACCUUCGUCAAAAAGAGACUUUCACAGAUUUUCACGUUGCUAUGUAACUAAAGGGACAAUUACUCUGAAAAGAGGAAAUUAUAAUGAAGGACUUCGUACUACCUGACUGGUUGUGGAGGUGGGGAAGGACAACCUACACAAAAGUGGUCGCACAGGUUGUGGCUGAAUAUCUGCGCGUAACCUUGUCUACUUAGAGAGCAUUGGUAUUGGACUCUUAGAUUUUACUGGUUUGCUUGAAUUGGGACAUACUACACAAUUUAUUCGAAGGCACGUGAAACCCAAUUAUGUUGAACGAUAUAACGCGUUGCUCAAAAUUUACGCAUAGUGUUGUACCUUAUGUUAAAUUUGGUUUAUAAGCAUACUUCAUCAUUGCAUUAUGUAACAACAAUCAAGUACGAAUAAUUUUAUACUAACAAUAAGACAUAGACUAGAAAAACAUAAAAUUGCACAUAUAUAUAUAU